ACAGAGUUUGAUUUCUUUCUUUACAGCCAUGCUGGUAUAAAGGUAAUAUUUUUUUAUAUUUUUUGUCUCAUUAUUUUAUUUUUCUAGGUUAGGAGAGGCUAAUCUCCACUUUUUCUACCCUAUAAUGAUGAGUGGCAACUGAUGAACUGGUUUUUAUAAGUAAUCUUUUUGGUUUUAAGUAUUUGCAUAAUCUAGUUUUAUCUAAUUUUUAAAAUAAUUUUUAUUAAUUUAUCUAUAUUUUGUUUUCAUUCAAGGGACCAACAGACUAAUACAUUAUCAUGUAUUAUUG
rnacentral:lncRNA from 1 species